AGGGUCGCGAAAAGAAGGUGUGAGGGCUCUGUGUGCCAGUGAGGUGGAAGUGAAGAGAAGAGGGGAAUGAAUGUCCGAUGCUAGGCACAGCGAAUGAGAGGCAUCUGGUGGAGGCCCCGAAAAGAACUUCGUUUCAUCAGACUGGGACUGGGAUAGGCCAACGAAGCAGACAGAUGUUACUG
rnacentral:SRP_RNA from 11 species